CGGAAGCGUACAGCAGAGAGCGGAAAGAGCUCAGCGAGGCAGUGUGACAAAGCCGAGCAGGCUGUGUGGCGUUUAUUACCCAAUAAAAGCCGCACUGAAUACUGCAUAGGAAUAGGAAUACGAAUUGGAAUACGAAUAGGAACGAGCGGAGGCGCUGGCCAGCGAUUCCGUAUGGAAUCCGCAUCGUCAGGCUGCGGCGGCAGGCCUUUGCCAUUCCCCCAUUCCCCCAUUUCCCAUGCCAGCCCAUCAACCAGUCAGCCAGUUCAGUCCAGUGCA